rnacentral:rRNA from 1 species
AUUGAACGCUGGCGGCAUGCCUUACACAUGCAAGUCGAACGGCAGCACGGACUUCGGUCUGGUGGCGCGUGGCGAACGGGUGAGUAAUGUAUCGGAACGUACCUUUCAGUGGGGGAUAACGUAGCGAAAGUUACGCUAAUACCGCAUAUUCUGUGAGCAGGAAAGCAGGGGAUCGAAAGACCUUGCGCUGAUUGAGCGGCCGAUAUCGGAUUAGCUAGUUGGUGGGGUAAAGGCCUACCAAGGCGACGAUCGGUAGCGGGACUGAGAGGAUGAUCGGCCACACUGGAACGGAGACACGGUCCAGACUCCUACGGGAGGCAGCAGUGGGGAAUUUUGGACAAUGGGGGAAAACCUGAUCCAGCCAUGCCGCGUGAGUGAAGAAGGCCUUCGGGUUGUAAAGCUCUUUCGGCAGGGAAGAAAUAGUAUAGGCUAAUACCCUGAGUGGGUGACGGUACCGGAAUAAGAAGCACCGGCUAACUACGUG